ensembl:lncRNA
GCUGCCCCUGUGGCAUAUGGAAGUUCCCAGGCCAGGGAACCAACCGAGUCAGAGCCGUGACCUAUUCCACAGCUGGGACAGCUCUGGAUCCUUUAACCCACUGUUAGUUGGUGUCUCCACCAAGACAAGCCAGAUCAUGAACCCACUGUGCCACAGCAGAAACUCCCAAAUGGAUUUUAAUUUAAAAAACAUUUUGACUCAAAAAAUUUUGGUUCUGAAAGGGAUCUUAGAAGCUAUCUCAUCCAAAGCUCUCAUUUUAUGUGAGGAAACUGAGGCUCAGAGACUGAGCUGGGAUAAGGACUCCGUGCUUCAGGCUUUCAGUCCAGACAUUUGGGAAAAAAUCAAAUUAUUUUAAAUUGAUUUUUACCUAGGUUCCCACAACUUUCCUAUGCUCCUUCUCCCCACUGCUAACUCUCUUUCUCUCUCCCCAGUCACAGUGGGCAAUCUUACUUUUAUCCUGUGCAGGUCAUAGGCCACCACAACACACUGGUGCACAGGCAAACCCAUUAUGCUGUUCCGUGAAAACACACAGGCUGGAAGACCCAUUGGUGGCUGUACAUUAAUUAUGAAACCUUGAGAGCUGUACUAUGAUGUACUUAUGACUCUUCUUCACUGGUAUCCAGGCAUUUGGAAAGGUGUAUGGAACCUACUCAUCACAAGGAAAGCACACAAACAAUUGAAAACAUUUCCAACUCUCAAACUCCAUUGUUUGUGCUGUUUCCUAAGUAGAACGUAAUUUAACAUAGAAACCUGGACUGUUUCAGGUGGAGAUGUCGUUAAGCAGAGUUCACCCUUCAAAGCUCAAUUUAGCAAAGAAAAGAUGGGCUGUGUUUUUGCUUCAAAAGGAGCUGCUGACCAGGCUGAUAUUUGGGGCAGAGUUUCUGAGAAUCUGUUUGCACAUCUGUGCUGCCAGAAGCAGAAGACAAAGGUGUAAAUAGGCUUUAUAAUACCCCAUCCCACUCUUCCCAGCCACCUCUAGAAGCAUGACUUCCCAGAGGGCAGUGGGUUACAGAAUGAGGAACUGAACAGUUUGCCUGUCAUUCUGCUGAUAGUUUUUAUGAGAAGGGAGUCCAGAGCACGCUUUAAAAUGUAAUCUAUAAUUCAUUGCAGAUGAACUGUAAAAUGCAGAAGCAUUAAUUUUUACAACAACUCUCAUUAUUUACGACACUUCCCCUGUCCUCUAUUAAAAAUAUUUCUUUGUUGCAUGUAUAGAAUAUUCACAGCUGCUAUAUUAUUUACAGGGGGGUUAAUGAACAGUUAUAAUGAUUUAGCCAUUAGAAAAUUAAAGCCGUUUAAGAAAAGGUAACUUGUUUCUGAGAUGUUUUCUCAUUGAAUAAAAAUCGUAACAGGGGAAUUAAAUUUAUUUACUAAAACCUAAUUGCCAAGUGAAAAUGAUCUAAAAGUAGGGCUUUGAAAUUUUAUGUUAGUCAAGGUACAGAGCAAAACACUGCAGACAGUGUUUUGAAAAUGAAGAAUAUUUAUUGGAGGAAUUUUAUUGGGGAUGCAGACAAAGGCGGAAAUGUGAUUAAAUGAGACUCAGGACUGGUGAAGUUAUGGAAGUUGCUCUGCUCAGUCAUUCAUUCAGUGAGCACAUAAGAGGCUGCUGGGAACCAUCUAUUGUGCUAUCAGAGGUACAUAAAGAUGAAAAAACAGGGUCUCUGCUCUCAAGUGGUUCACAGUCCAAAGGUGGAACAAACACAUGAAAAUGGUGCUAUUAUUCAGCAAGUGCUGCAAAGGAGGUGAGUACAAAGCAGAGUCAGCUUCUCUGUCUGUGGAGUCUGAGAAGACUUGUUGGAGUUGGGGAUGCUUGACCUAAGCCGAGGUUGCAAAGUGACAGAUGCUUAUUUUGUUUGAUUUACACAGUAUGGAUUAAAAAAUGGAAGGGGAAACCCAUCAAGAUAAUUAGUCAACUGGUGCUUUGAUGAACCCAAACAUAUUGCAAUAAGAGAUAAAAAGGAAAAGGAGAAAGCUUAUCAGAUACAGCUGGGUUCAAAAACAAGGCAAACAUCUUCAAGAACUAGAGAUGGAACAGAAACAUGAACAGGUGGUAGGAUCAGAAUAAAGAUGUGCUAUGCCCUUGAUGAGCAGGGAUGGCCAGGAAUUUGGUUUAUUCAAGGGACUGAUUGUCCUUUAUAUGACAGACAUCCUUCUAACACCAUUAAAAAAAAGCUGAGAAAAUACUGAAGAUUACUGGCUGGGUCAAAGUACUUAGAAACAGACUUGUAGUUGGGAGCUGAAUGAAACCAUCUAUUGGCUUGGUCACUGUGUCUUUGUUCUCCUUAGUAUUGUUAUAGGUCCUGUGACCUGCAGUGGGUUGAAUAGAUAAAGUGGGUUUUAUCUAUUCAACCCUUUCCCUGUAAAAAUCCAUGGUCACCCAGAACCUCGGAAUGUGGUCUUAUUUGGAAAUAAGGUCUUUGAAGAUAUAACUAGUUAAGUAGCUGGACAUAAAAUCAUCCUGGAUUAAGUGGUCCCUACACCCAGUGACUGAGAUGUCCUUAUAAGCCUUAGGAAACUGAUACAUAUCCCAAACCUCCAAACCUUAAAAGACCUGGUUUAGGACUGGUGGCUGGGCAUGGGGGACAUAUUGAGGCAACUGCAGAGGAAGGCAGGUGGGGGCAUGUAGAAAGAUGAGUACAGGAAGCAAUAGCAGGGGGAAUAUCGAGGGUGAGUGAGGGUGUGCUCCCAGGCAGAUGUCAGAGAACCAAAGCCCAUAACCCAAACCCUAAACAUAAAGCUUCCCUUCAAAAGAAGCCCAAAUUCAUAAACAGGUGAAGGAAACUACCUUUAGGAAAAGCAGCAAUAAAAUCAACUAUUGAGACAUGAGUGUAUUCCAGAUGCAAUUAAUUCCAUAGCUGUGUCUGACAAAGACUUUACUUAUUUAUCAGAUAAGGCUUUCAGACUUCCCGUUGUAGCUCACC